UACGGGGGGGGCAAGCGUUGUUCGGAAUUACUGGGCAUAAAGGGCGCGUAGGCGGCCUUCUAAGUCGGACGUGAAAUCCCUCGGCUUAACCGAGGAACUGCGUCCGAUACUGAAAGGCUUGAAUCCGGGAGAGGGAUGUGGAAUUCCAGGUGUAGCGGUGAAAUGCGUAGAUAUCAAGAGGAACACCUGAGGUGAAGACGGGUUGCUGGGCUGACACUGACGCUGAGGCGCGAAAGCUAGGGUAGCAAACGGG
rnacentral:rRNA from 1 species